UACGUAGGGGGCAAGCGUUGUCCGGAUUUAUUGGGCGUAAAGCGUGCGUAGACGGUUAUUUAAGUCAGGUGUGAAAGCCCCGGGCUCAACCUGGGAAUUGCAUUUGAGACUGAAUAGCUAGGGUGCGGAAGAGGGAAGCGGAAUUUCCGGUGUAGCGGUGAAAUGCGUAGAUAUCGGAAGGAACACCAGUGGCGAAGGCGACUACCUGGCCUGUUUCUUGACGCUGAGGCGCGAAAGCUAGGGGAGCAAACGGGG
rnacentral:rRNA from 1 species